GGAGGAAAUCAAGAUGGCCGCACGAGGCGAGCGGAGGGACGCAGACGAGCAAUGCCAGAAGUCCACCACCGGCAAUCCUGAGGUCAGGUGCGUGCUCAGCCGCCCAGUCGUGUCUGACUUUUUGUGACCCUAUGGGUAGCGUGCCAGGCUUCUCUGUCCAUGGGAUUCUCCAGGCAAGAAUACUGGAGUGGGUUGCCAUUGCCUCCUCCAGAUGUCAGCUUCUCACGUAUCAGAUAUAACAGCUAUUUAACUGGCACAUCUACACAGCCGUUCCUGACAGGAAGUGCAUUAAGACAGUGGAUGUAACUGAAGCUGCAGAUUUGGAGAGACAGCAUCCCAAAUGACCAACUGGGCAUGUGGCCAGAAUAUUGCAGGGAAAUCAUACAGAACGAAUGGCAGAGACAGAUACCGAGCCAACAGAUGACAAGAGGACUAGCUCCAUUCUCUGGAAAAUACGAUGAUAAGAAACAGAUUUCAGCUGUUCCUUAAGUUUUCCCUCUACUGGACAACAAAGCUGCCAAGGAAUGAGGAUACGCAGAUUAGGACACACACGUAACCCCUCCACCUGCAGUGCGUCCUGACAAGUCAGUGUGGCUUUGAUUCAAGUACGGGAGACCUACCUGGGAAGCGAGAUCGUCUUCUUAUGUGAAACACUGUAUUCCGUAGAAGAAUCAAGUAAAGCAGCAUUCUUCAGCUGCCAUGGGCCAGAAUUGAAAGUAUCACACUAAAUUUGUGAGAAUGGACAGAACGGUAAAUGGAAAUAUAUAAAGAAGCGAUUUGCACUGGGACCUAAUCAAGACAACAAGAUCGAAGGUGGUGAAAAAACUGUUACUGUGAAACAAAAAACUCUCCAGCUGUUGGGUGACUUCAUGAAGGGACUCUCUUGUCCAACUGUAGAGUCCAAAGAUGUUUGAUGAAUUUGGGCUUGAUUCCAGCAGGUAUGGCUAUCCAAGGAGACUCAGUCUGCAGAAUGGAAAUACAGCCAAAGGAGUCCAUAGGCAUCAGCCUAGACUAGAAGUCAAGAGACGGAUGGAGCUGUGGUUUUAAAUGAUAUAUAGCAGAACCUCCUUGAGUAGCGAGAGAGUCCAGGUAACAGAGCUCAGCCUCCAUGGAUAAGCCUGUCAAAGUUAGGCAGAAUGUCAGGGCCCCAGCCAAGUGGGCUUGGGUGCAGGGAAAAGCUCUACAUCCAGAUGGAGUCUGAAGUGAUGAGAGAAAACCAAAACAGAUGUCUGGAUAUAUACAUAGAUUUAACCAACACAAGUGGGCUAAGGGGAAACUAUUCAUUCAGUAAGCAAACUGUGGGGGAAACAGGAAGCACGUGGACCCCAGGUCCUCUCCUCUUGCGAAGGGUGCAGAUGUAUUUUCUGCCAUGGUGAGAAUCAUUUCAGGCUUUGGUUGAGGUUUGAACUCGAAUGAAAGGGGCAUUUGUGAUUAUUGUUGAGUGGCACUAAAAAGACAUGAACUGAGCAAUUUAAAAAUAGUGCCAUGGCUUGGUAUAUAUAUAUUUUUAAAUGCAUAUAUGGGAUUCUUCCCAGGUGGCUCAGUGGUACAGAAUCAGCCUGUGAAUGCAGGAGAUGUGGGUUCGAUCCCUGGGUCCAGAAGAUCCCCAGGAGGAGGAAAUGGCAACCCACUCCAGUAUUCUUGCCUGGAGAAUUCCAUAGACCGAGGCGCCUGACAGGCUAUGGUCCAUGGGGUCACAAAAAAGUUGGACAUGGCUUAGUGACUAAACAACAACAACAACAUGGGAUUGUUGGGGAAAUUAUUUAUUAUGGUUUUAAUGUAUAGGCCCAAUAUAUUGGUGAAGUUUAAUUUAACUAUGAGUACAUUUUGACC
ensembl:lncRNA